AGAUCUGUUUAUCCAGUUUGUACUCCGAACAUGUCUAUAAAUAGCCAAGAUUUUUACGCUAUGCAGUUUAAUUAAAGGUUGGGAGUGCAUCUGUAUACAAUGAAGUUAUUCUGGAUAUUAGCAGUGAUUUUAUCAGUUGUAUCAUGGACGGGUGCAGCUCGCGGCGGAGGCUGUAUAUGUCCCGCAGUUUUUGACCCCGUGUGUGGGGUCGAUCGGACGACAUACAGCAACAGUUGUCGUUUGCAAUGCGCCAGAUUGCGGCUGUCACAUAAAGGAGCGUGUUAGUCAUAAAUUGAUAACAAACGAUGCUUUAAUAAACACUCGAUUAUAUUCAAAUAAUCAA